ACAAUGAAGAUGUGCUGUCUCACAGUUCUGGAGGUUAGAUGGUCAAAAGCAAGAUGUUGGCCGAGUGGGUUCCUUCCAGAGACUGUGAGGGGGCGUCCAUCCCAUGCUUUUCACUAGCUUCUUGUGGCUGUGGGCCAUCCUCGGCAUUCCUUGGCUUGUGGACACAUCACUCCAGCACGUGCCUCUGUCUCCCCACGGGAGCUGAGGUGCUGAGGUAAAUAUCAUAGCCUUUGAAGAUCUGUUUGUGCCGUGAACAUCAAAGGGAACACAGGUGUGAUGUCUGGAGCUCUAGCUGCAAUCCUGUACCAGGAGGGCAAUACUGACUCUGGGGAAGUUAGAGGAAUGAACUGGAAGGAACUGAGUCCCUGGAGGCAUAA